CAGAGGUCGCGCUCGACAAGAGUAGUAAGCAUGAGCUAGGGAAAGCGUUAAUUGCUUACAAAAGGGGAGAGCGCCGAAGUUUACUGCUUAAUAAUCCCAAAAGUAGUGAGCUGGGACUUGGCUUAAUAUACCAAGGACUGUCGCAGCGAGUCGGCAUUCGCUGCGGAGAGCUAUC
rnacentral:ncRNA from 1 species